rnacentral:rRNA from 1 species
AUUGAACGCUGGCGGCAUGCUUUACACAUGCAAGUCGAACGGUAACAGGCCGCAAGGUGCUGACGAGUGGCGAACGGGUGAGUAAUGCAUCGGAACGUGCCCAGUCGUGGGGGAUAACGCAGCGAAAGCUGCGCUAAUACCGCAUACGAUCUCUGGAUGAAAGCGGGGGACCGAAAGGCCUCGCGCGAUUGGAGCGGCCGAUGUCAGAUUAGGUAGUUGGUGGGGUAAAGGCCCACCAAGCCAACGAUCUGUAGCUGGUCUGAGAGGACGACCAGCAACACUGGGACUGAGGAACGGCCCAGACGCCUACGGGGGGCAGCAGUGGGGAAUUUUGGACAAUGGGCGCAAGCCUGAUCCAGCAAUGCCGCGUGCAGGAAGAAGGCCUUCGGGUUGUAAACUGCUUUUGUACGGAACGAAACGGUCCGGGUUAAUACCCUGGGCUAAUGACGGUACCGUAAGAAUAAGCACCGGCUAACUACGUGCCAGCCGCCGCAGUAAUAC